AUGUUAAGCCUCUCCCGGACGCGCCCUCCCGGCUCCCCGUCCCCGAAAGCCGCACCCCGGGGCCCCAAGGAGCCGCGCUACCGGCCCGCACCCCGCGCUCCCGGCCCCGGGCCUCAGGCUGCGGCAUCUCCAGCCCCCAGCCGCCGCCGGGACCGCGCGCCCGCGCCGCGGUCUGGUUCCGGAGCGGGGGCAGCCUCGGAAGGGUUGAGGAGUCAAGAACUGAAAAUUAGAUGGUUUUUUGGAUUUGAGGAUGUGGAAGAUCCUAUGAUUCCUCAUGCAGAUCUGUCAAUGUUAUUUUUAAAGUUCCUGGCCGGGAUGUCAUUCUGAGAGAACGCCUGUUCGCCUCAGCUGAACAUAGAUAGUUUCCCAUCCUUUCCUCUGGUCUGAGUUUUGAUUUGCUUCGGUGCUGGUUCUGACCUUUUGUCCCGCCUGUGAGAGCAGGGCUCCCAGCUCUUCGCGAUUUCCAUCUCCGGCUCUCUAUUGAGAUCCCUGCUCUGUUCCUGCUAGGUGGAGGUAGUGUCUGGGCUCUCCAAGCAGUCUCUGUUGACAGACCAUGGUGGGAGGGACCCCUCCUUACCGUGGUGGGAGUGGGAGUUCCAGCUCCCCAUUUUCUUAUUAAUAAGGUUUGAGAAAUGUUCAUUCAUCCAUAAUAUCAUUGGCCACCCACCAGGGGAUACACCUUCAGUUGGCAAAUUUAAAAAAGACAUACUCUUUGCUCUCAAGCAGUUAAAAGGGUGUAACAUCAGAAGUGGAAAUGUGCAUUUUUAUAAACAUUUAUAAAUGGUUGAAAUGUGUACUAAAAUUGUAUGCAUGAUUAUACUGCAAAACUACAAAUAUGUUCCUUAAUGUUUAGUUAAAAAUCAGCUGGGAGCUUAUAUCACAAAAGAAUAAAGGUAAAUAAAUAUGAUAGGGUAUAAUUUAA
rnacentral:lncRNA from 1 species